rnacentral:rRNA from 1 species
CCCUUAGAUGUUCUGGGCCGCACGCGCGCUACACUGACGACUUCAACGAGUUUUUUUCAUUUGAAAAAGUCCUUGGCCGGAAGGUCUGGGUAAUCUUUUAAAAGGUCGUCGUGAUGGGGCUAGAUUCUUGCAAUUAUUAAUCUCCAACGAGGAAUUCCUAGUAAACGCAAGUCAUCAACUUGCAUUGAUUACGUCCCUGCCCUUUGUACACACCGCCCGUCGCACCUACCGAUUGAAUGGUCCGGCGAAGCCUCGGGAUUGUGGCCAGUUCACUUUAUUGGGAGUUGGCUGUGAGAACUUGUCUAAACCUUAUCAUUUAGAGGAAGGUGAAGUCGUAACA